AAACCAGCACCUCAAGUGGUCAGGAUGAUUAUUGGGCCUAAAGCAUCCGUAGCCUGAUCUGUAAGUUUUCGGUUAAAUCUGUACGCUCAACGUACAGGCUGCCGGAAAUACUGCAGAGCUAGGGAGUGGGAGAGGUAGACGGUACUCGGGAGGAAGUGGUAAAAUGCUUUGAUCUCUCGAUGACCACCUGUGGCGAAGGCGGUCUACCAGAACACGUCCGACGGUGAGGGAUGAAAGCUGGGGGAGCAAACCGGAUUAGAAACCCUAGUAGUCC
rnacentral:rRNA from 1 species